rnacentral:rRNA from 1 species
CACGUAGGGGGGCGAGCGUUUGUCCCGGAUUUUAUUGGGGCGUAAAGAGCUCGUAGGCGGCUCAGUAAGUCGGGUGUGAAAACUCCAGGCUCAACCUGGAGACGCCACCUGAUACUGCUGUGGCUAGAGUCCGGUAGGGGAGCAUGGAAUUCCUGGUGUAGCGGUGAAAUGCGCAGAUAUCAGGAGGAACACCAGUGGCGAAGGCGGUGCUCUGGGCCGGAACUGACGCUGAGGAGCGAAAGCGUGGGGAGCAAACAGG